GACGGAGGGUGCUAGCGUUGUUCGGAUUUACUGGGCGUAAAGCGCACGUAGGCGGGUCGUUAAGUCAGGGGUGAAAUCCCGGAGCUCAACUCCGGAACUGCCUUUGAUACUGGCGACCUUGAGGCCGGAAGAGGUUAGUGGAAUUCCCAGUGUAGAGGUGAAAUUCGUAGAUAUUGGGAAGAACACCAGUGGCGAAGGCGGCUAACUGGUCCGGAUCUGACGCUGAGGUGCGAGAGCGUGGGGAGCAAACGGG
rnacentral:rRNA from 1 species